CAGUGUGUUUCAAGCUAUGAUCUCAAGUCAGUGUGCUAGUGACCCCU
rfam:Oryctolagus cuniculus chromosome 7, whole genome shotgun sequence.